CCUAUCUAAACGUUAAUUUAAAAAUUACUUUCUGAUUUUUUAUUGCUAGUAUACAAGUAUACAAUUGAUUCUUGUAUUUUGAGUUUAUAUCCUUUAAUGUUUCUAAGCUCAGGUAUUACUUAUCAUAGUAUUUUUUGUAGAUUCUUUGAAUUGUCUUUCACAGACCACCAUGUUAAGGCAAACAGAGACAGUUUUAUUUUUUCUUUCUCAAUCUGUAUGUAAUUGUUUUCUAUUCCUUACUUUAUUGCCCUGGAUUAGACCUUCAGGAGAACACUGAAUAACAAUAGUGAGAUUGGGCAUCCUUGCCAUUUUCCUUUUUCUUUUUUUCCCCUCCUGAGACGGAUUCUUGCUCUGUCGCCCAGGCUGGAGUGGAGUGGCGAGAUCUCGGCUCACUGCAACCUCCGUCGCCCAGUUCAAGCAAUUCUCCUGCCUCAGCCUCCCGAGUAGCUGGGAUUGCAGCCCUUACUGCCCUCCCUUGUUCAUCCCUUCUGAGUCUCCAGUGUCCAUUAUACCACUCUGUACAACUGUGUGUAUGCAUGGCUUCGCUCCCACUUGUAAGACCAUACAUGCUCAGAUUUUGAACUUCUGCAGGAAAAAAACUUGAAUUACAGAAAACUGCUACCCUGUAUCAACACCUUCACCAACUAAAGUUAACCUGAUGAUCUAAUCAUAUAUAUGAAGAGAUAAUUGUCUCUUUGAUAGUCAUGUCAAUUUUGUCUUUUUUUUGUGGCUGCCAUUUUAUUUUUUAUUCUCAUUAGAAAAAAUAUGACAUGUUUUGAUUAAAAUAAGCAUAUUAUUAAGUGGAAGAAAUGUUUGUUUUAAAGCAACCAUCAUUAUAUUAAAUUUAACCUGGGACAUAUGCUAAAAAUGGAAGCUGGUGUCAUAAUGUGCUUCUGGUCCUCUGGGAAACUUAACUCGACAG
rnacentral:lncRNA from 1 species